AUGGAGAAUUUGCAACCCGACCUUGCAUACCGGUACCAUAAUCUUCGCUUCUUCCCUACCGGAGAACGUAACUGCUACACACUGCGGUCCCUAAAACCGGGUGGCAAGUACCUUGUUAGGGCUGCAUUUGGCUAUGGUGACUAUGACAAGCUAAAUAGGCUUCCUACCUUUGAUCUUUACUUCGGGGCCAACUACUGGACAACAGUGAACAUUGUCAAUUCUAGUACAGCGUAUGUGUUUGAGAUAAUUGCUUUGUGCCCUGCCGACUUCCUGCAGAUUUGCUUGGUGAAUAUAGGAUCCGGAACACCUUUCAUCUCAGGGCUUGAUUUGAGGUCACUCAAAGAAAAUCUUUAUCCGCAGGUGAAUGUGGGACAGACCUUUGUUUUGCUCAGCUUUUUUCGUGACACAGUUGGUUUUGGACCCAAUCGCUACCACUUCGGAACAAACUAUGGGCACAUUAGGUUCCCGGAUGACCCCUACGACCGUAUGUGGCAAAGAUACCAAGAUGUUCCCAGCUGGACAGAUGUAACCAACAAAUCGGAUGAGCCUGUCCAGAACUCUCCAAACAACAACUACGAUGCACCAUCGGCAGUGAUGCGUAGUGCAUCCACUCCAGUGAAUGGUUCAAGGAUGGACAUAUCCUGGAGUGCAGAUGCAUCCAUGGGUGUUGGCGUUGACACCAAGUACUCUCUUGCACUCUACUUUGCCGAGCUGGAGGCUGUCCAAGGGUUGAGGCAAUUUGAUGUAUCAGUGGACAACAACCAAUUAGUUGCUGGAUUCAGUCCAACCUACUUGAUUGCUACUGUUCUCCCAGCGAUUGUCCAAGGCUCAGGCGAGCACAGCAUCUCCCUCCUGGCAACAUCAAAAUCUGUGCUCCCGCCUUUGAUCAACGCAAUGGAGAUAUUCAUGGUGUGGCCCCUGAAUGAAUCUACUACUGCAUCUUUAGAUGCCAAUGCUAUGAUGACAAUCCAGACAAAGUUUGCGGUGAAGAGAAACUGGGUGGGUGAUCCGUGCGCCCCUAUAUCUUUUGCAUGGUAUGGUUUGGAUUGCAGUUACAUUCCCGGUGGUCCCCCAAGAAUAACUGCCCUAAACUUGUCAUCCAGUGGGUUGGUUGGUGAAAUAGAUGCUUCCUUUGGCCAGCUAACAUUGCUCCAACGCUUGGAUCUAUCACACAACAAUCUAUCGGGAACAAUACCUUAUUUUCUGGGUCAAGUGCCAUCACUUACAUUUUUGGAUUUGUCAAGCAACGACCUCAAUGGACCAAUUCCUAUGAACCUGCUACAAAAAUCUCAGGACGGAUUUCUGACACUAAGGAUCGACAAUAACCCAAACCUAUGUGGAAGUCCUCCUUGCAACCCAUCUCCAAACAAAAAGAAGAAAACAAAAUCUAUACUCCAAAUUGUUGUUCCUGUAAUUGCCGCUCUAGUUCUUGUGGCUCUGCUUGUGCUUGUCAUUUGGUCCAGAAGGAAGAAGAGACCAGAUGUGCCUCGUUCUGCUAAUCAGUUCGAGAACUGGAGCUUCAAGUACAAGGAACUCAAGAUCAUUACCAAUAACUUCAACACUGUAAUCGGAAGGGGUGGAUUUGGCCCUGUGUAUUUUGGCUGUUUGGAGAAUGGAACUCCUGGUGCAGUAAAGAUGCUUUCAGAGACAUCUUCACAAGGUUAUGCAGAAUUUUUAGCUGAGGCUCAGCACCUAGCGAGGGUCCAUCACAAGAACUUAGUGUCCUUAGUUGGUUUUUGCAGGGAUAGAAAACAUCUAAGCCUUGUCUAUGAGUACAUGGAUGGAGGAAACCUGCAGGACCGGCUCAGAGGUCAAGAAUCCCUUAAUUGGCUGCAACGCCUGAAGAUUGCAUUGGACUCUGCCUACGGACUGGAAUACCUGCACAAAUCCUGCAGCCCACCCUUGAUACAUAGAGAUGUCAAGACUGGGAAUAUUCUACUUACUUCAAAUAUGGAGGCAAAAUUAUCGGAUUUUGGCCUUACAAGGGCUUUCAGCGGUGGCACGAGAAAACACACAACCACCCAACCAGCUGGUACCCUAGGCUACCUGGACCCAGAGUACUACGCAACCUCUCAUCUGAGCGAGAAGAGUGACGUGUACAGUUUUGGCGUCGUUCUCCUGGUGCUCAUCACAGGCCAGCCAACAAUCAUCAUCAUCAGCGACACAGAGAGAACCAACAUCUCUCAUUGGGCACGCCACAGGCUCUCUGAAGGUGACAUCGACAGCAUGACCGACCCGAUGAUAAGAGGAGACUGCGACAUCAACUCUGUGUGGAAGGUGGCGGAGCUGGCCCUGCGGUGCACGGAGCACACGGGACGGGACCGGCCGACGAUGGUGGAGGUCUUGGAGGGGAUCAAAGAGAGCUUGCAGCUGGAGAGCUCUUCGCGCUCCAGGAGAUGCAGCUCGGAUGGAACAGGCGGUUAG
rnacentral:rRNA from 1 species